UACCAAAUGAGGUAAAUAAUAAUCUGCACCCACAGUUGUGCCCCGUCUCUCUCUAGUCCCAGCUACGAGUACCUCUCAGUGCCUUUGGCAGGCAUAUCGUUCAGCUCUGUGUUGGAAAGUGUGCUCGUUCGUGAGCGGUUAAGGAGAAACUCGAAGCAAAAGAGAUGUGCUGCUGCAAAUGUUUAUUGUUUUAUAUAGAAGUAUACUACAUUGAUUAUUACCCUUUCUACUUGUUCUGUCUCUUGACUUUUCUGUUCAGCGGGGCUUCACACAUGAAGUUGAUGGAAUAUCCGUUAGGUCGCCAGCUCAUUUUCAGUAACAGUUGGAGCAUUUCAGCUUGUACAAGGCAGUAUUUGUCAUGUAUGGUAACGUUCUCUAUUUUUAAAAAAUUAUUUGUCUACUCCUAAUAGUUUAAUUAUAAGAAUCCCAUGUUUGAAUUUAAUCUCUAAAAUUGACGAGCCCAUGUAUAAGGGCAUUCUUGGUAAAUUGUGUCACUUUGUUUUUGUCUACAUAAAUCUCCUUUUUAAAGUGUUUUGAAUUAAAGAACCUAACUUGUUUUGUGUUUUUUAAAAAAUUUUGUCUGAUAGUUAAAUAAAAUCCUGCAUAAAAUGAAUGUUAUAUACCCACCAGGAGUUCAGAAUUGUUCCCUAUGCAUGUUAGUCCUUGUUAAAGCUGUUUGCGUAUUCAACUGGACCGCAUGACUCAACAGAAGGAAAGUUCAUCGUUAUGAUCAUUUACUCAGGCUCUCAGUUUUUUGGUGUGUGUGUGUGUGUGUGUGUGCGCGCGCGUGUGCAACAAAAAACAUUGCACUUGUUUUUUUUUGUUGUUGUUUUUUUGUGUUUUUUUUUUUUUCCUUUCAUGUCAAGUUCACCUUGUGGUCUACACACUCAGGAUAUGCCCCAAAAAUGUCACUGCAAUGCAUAGAUCUCUUCGCUGUGUGGCAGGAGGAUUUAGUAACCUACUUGUUUUAAACUGGGUCAUAACACAAUCACUGGAAUAUAAAAUGCUGUAUAUCAUUGCAAUAGGUGAGUAUUCAGUUGGUAUCUCUUUUUGGAGAUGUUUCUGCUUUUGUUAAAACAGACAGACACUGACAUGUCUUCUUUGUAGGGGUAUACUCAGUGUAUUUCAAGCUACUCUCUACUCAGUGUCUCAGCCGACAUGUUGCUACCACUGGCUUCCAGCAGGCUUCUGUAGCCAAAGAACAUACAUGUAAUGUCAGCUUUGUCUUUUGAGAUUUUUCUUAUUACAUUUUUAUACAUCAUUAUAUAGGUUGAUGUGAUUUUUGAAAACCUGUUUUGUUAAAGGAUUAAUAAAGUCAGAUAUUUUCAACUGUC